rnacentral:rRNA from 1 species
UGGGGAAUUUUGGACAAUGGGGGCAACCCUGAUCCAGCAAUGCCGCGUGUGUGAAGAAGGCCUUCGGGUUGUAAAGCACUUUUGUCCGGGAAGAAAUCCCCUGCCCUAAUACGGCGGGGGGAUGACGGUACCGGAAGAAUAAGCACCGGCUAACUACGUGCCAGCAGCCGCGGUAAUACGUAGGGUGCGAGCGUUAAUCGGAAUUACUGGGCGUAAAGCGUGCGCAGGCGGUGAUGUAAGACCGAUGUGAAAUCCCCGGGCUCAACCUGGGAACUGCAUUGGUGACUGCAUUGCUCGAGUAUGGCAGAGGGGGGUGGAAUUCCACGUGUAGCAGUGAAAUGCGUAGAGAUGUGGAGGAACACCGAUGGCGAAGGCAGCCCCCUGGGCCAAUACUGACGCUCAUGCACGAAAGCGUGGGGAGCAAACAGGAUUAGAUACCCUGGUAGUCCACGCCCUAAACGAUGUCAACUGGUUGUCGGGCCUUCAUUGGCUUGGUAACGUAGCUAACGCGUGAAGUUGACCGCCUGGGGGAGUACGGUCGCAAGAUUAAAACUC